rnacentral:rRNA from 1 species
UACAGAGGUCUCAAGCGUUGUUCGGAUUCAUUGGGCGUAAAGGGUGCGUAGGUGGCGCUGUAAGUCGGGUGUGAAAUUUCGGAGCUUAACUCCGAAACUGCAUUCGAUACUGCGGUGCUUGAGGACUGGAGAGGAGACUGGAAUUCACGGUGUAGCAGUGAAAUGCGUAGAUAUCGUGAGGAAGACCAGUGGCGAAGGCGGGUCUCUGGACAGUUCCUGACACUGAGGCACGAAGGCCAGGGGAGCAAACGGG